rnacentral:rRNA from 1 species
UGACCGCUGGCGGCGUGCCUACUACAUGCAAGUCGAGCGACCAGACGAGGAGCUUGCUCCUCUGACGUUAGCGGCGGACGGGUGAGUAACACGUGGAUAACCUACCUAUAAGACUGGGAUAACUUCGGGAAACCGGAGCUAAUACCGGAUAAUAUAUUGAACCGCAUGGUUCCAUAGUGAAAGACGGUUUUGCUGUCACUUAUAGAUGGAUCCGCGCCGCAUUAGCUAGUUGGUAAGGUAACGGCUUACCAAGGCAACGAUGCGUAGCCGACCUGAGAGGGUGAUCGGCCACACUGGAACUGAGACACGGUCCAGACUCCUACGGGAGGCAGCAGUAGGGAAUCUUCCGCAAUGGGCGAAAGCCUGACGGAGCAACGCCGCGUGAGUGAUGAAGGUCUUCGGAUCGUAAAACUCUGUUAUUAGGGAAGAACAAAUGUGUAAGUAACUAUGCACGUCUUGACGGUACCUAAUCAGAAAGCCACGGCUAACUACGUG